GUCGAGUUGUUUGGGAAUGCUGCUCAAAAUGGGAGGUAAACCCCUUCUAAAGCUAAAUAUUGGCCAGAGACCGAUAGCGCACAAGUAGAGUGAUCGAAAGAUGAAAAGCACUUUGAAAAGAGAGUUAAAAAGCACGUGAAAUUGUUGAAAGGGAAGCGCUUGCGACCAGACUUGCGCCCGUCGGAUCAACCGUCGCUUGUCGGCGGCUCACUCCGGCGGGCUCAGGCCAGCAUCAGUUUUCCCGGGGGGAGAAAGGCGGUGGGAAUGUGGCUCUUCGGAGUGUUAUAGCCCGCCGCGUAAUACCCUCGGGGGGACUGAGGACCGCGCAUCUGCAAGGAUGCUGGCGUAAUGGUUGUCAGCGACCCGUCUUGAAACAC
rnacentral:rRNA from 1 species